UACGUAGGGUGCAAGCGUUAAUCGGAAUUACUGGCGUAAAGCGUGCGCAGGCGGUGAUGUAAGACAGUUGUGAAAUCCCGGGCUCAACCUGGGAACUGCAUCUGUGACUGCAUUGCUGGAGUGCGGCAGAGGGGGGGGAUGGAAUUCCGCGUGUAGCAGUGAAAUGCGUAGAUAAUGCGGAGGAACACCGAUGGCGGAAGGCAAUCC
rnacentral:rRNA from 1 species